AUACAUUUCUUGGCCUUUGGCUAAGAUAAAAUCUAAUAGUUGUUUUUAUCAGUUUAAUAUAUGGUACGUGGAGUAUAUGUUCACUUUGAUGUUACAUUUAUUUUAUAUGUAGUUUUUAUGGUGAGGAUCAACUACACUGGCUUACUUAGUCCUUACAUGUCACUCAAUCAUUACACUACAACCACUACUGGUAGGGUCUAGCUCAC
rfam:Zea mays cultivar B73 B73V4_ctg193, whole genome shotgun sequence.